GCACACACGCCUUUUGUCUCCCGAAGACGGUGCGCAGUGCCGCCUGUACUGAGGACGGUCCGACGCUCGGUGAAGGCCCGCGCGGUCGAAGGUUCCGGGGGACACAAAGAGGAGCCGUGUGGGCCGCAGAGGCCGGUGCCGCCGCGGACCGUCCAAUCACAGGGGCUCGUGUGAGCGGCGGAGGGCGGGGUCUGUUCGGAUUCAGUCCCGGCCACAGACCGCGCCGCGCGCCUCCUGGCUGACGCGGACCCCCUGAUGCAGACCUGCGGUCCGCUCAGCGAUGAGCCCCCGCCUGGAUCGAUAGCGCGCGCAGGCCCGGAGCAGCCCGCCGCCCUCGCAUGGACCCCGCAUGACGCCCGGAGAGCCCCCGCCAUGUGGAGCCCCGCGCGGUGAUUCCUGCUCGCACUCCGCUUCGCUCGCGCGCCGCUUUUGUUGGGAGGCUUGAUCCGCGCCCCCGAUCCGCCUUUGUGUCCGGAGCGGGAUGGCGGCCGGCCGGCCGGAGCCUCGGGGCCGCCAGCCGGAGAACGGCUUCACCCCGCUGGAGCAGCCGGCUCCCCGCCUGCUGCCGCACAUCGACGGCUCGGUUCUGCCGGCCCUGGGGGGGUUCGGGAGGUACCAGAAGCAGCUGGUGCUCCUGACCUGGAUCCCCGCUUUGUUCAUCGGCUUCAGCCAGUUCUCGGAUUAUUUCCUGCUGGCGCAACCCAACGGAACCUGCCUGGUGCCGCUGAGCAACGACAGCAACUGGAGCGGAGCGACGCCGCUGCCGGUCAACGGUUCGGCGGACGGGUUCGGCGACUCGGGCGGGCUCAUGUGCGCGUGUAAGGAGUGGAGGCUGGAGCUGCUGACGGGACUGAGCCAGAACGUGGUUACCAAGUGGAACCUGGUGUGCGACUCGGCCUGGAAAGUUCACAUCGCCAAGUUCUCGCUGCUGGUGGGCUCCAUAUUCGGCUACCUGGUGAUGGGUGUCAUGGCCGACUGGUUCGGCCGUCAGCCGGUGCUGAUCCUGUCCGUCUUCUUCAUGCUGGUGUUUGGCCUCAGCGUCGCCUUCUCCGCCAACGUCACCGUCUUCAGCACCCUGCGCUUCUUCGAGGGCUUCUGCCUGGCGGGCCUCGCACUGGCCCUCUACGUGCUGCGGGUGGAGCUGUGCCUCCCCGCCUGGCGCUUCUCCAUGACCAUGGUGUCCAGCUUCCUGAUGGUGGCGGGGCAGCUGCUGAUGCCGGGGCUGGCCGCGCUCUGCCGCCACUGGCCGGGGCGGGAGGACUGGCAGCUGCUGCAGAUGCUCAUCAUCAGCCCCUUCGUGCUGGUGCUGCCCUACGUCUGGAUCUUCCCCGAGUCGCUGCGCUGGCUGCUCGCCACGCAGCACUACAAGCGCUGCAAGCCCAUGAUGCUGCGGAUCGCCCGCCAGAACCAGGUGGACGCGAGAUCGGAGGCCAGCGGCGUGCUGACGGAGCUGGAGCAGGAGCUGCACAAGACGCCGCAGCGCACCUGCGUGGUGAGGAUGAUGAGCACGCGCAACCUGUGGAAGAACAUCGUGGUUCUGUGCGUCAACUCCCUGACCGGGUACGGGAUCCACCACUGCUUCGCCCGCAGCAUGCUGGACCCCGAGGCUCAGCCCACGGCGCCGUGCCACGCCGACUACUACACCGUGGCCGGCAUCGCGGUGGCCACCUGCCUGGCGCUCUGCCCCAUGGUGGCUCUGAUGGGCCGCCGCGGUGGUCUGCUCACCUUCAUGAUCAUCACGGCGCUGGCGUCGCUGCUGCAGCUGGGCCUGCUCAACCUGAUCGGGAAGUACAGCCUGCGGCACGACACCGUUCUGCGAGAGUCGCUCAACAGGAAGUUCUCGGUGGCCUUCUCCAUCAUCGGCAUGUUCUCCUCGCACGCGGUCAGCACGCUCAGCAUCUUCUUCUGCGCCGAGAUCACGCCCACUGUCAUCAGGGGCGGCGGCCUGGGCCUGGUCCUGGCCAGCGCCGGCUUCGGGAUGCUGACGGCGCCCAUCAUGGAGCUGCACAACCAGAAGGGCUACUUCCUGCACCACGUGAUCUUCGCCUGCUGCACGCUGCUCUGCAUCAUCUGCCUGCUGCUGCUGCCGGAGCCGCGCGGGCAGCCGCUGCCCGAGUCCCUGGCUGACGGCGAGACCUUCACCCGCCAGACGCUGCUGCACCCGGGGGAACAGCACCUCCUGCUGGCCAAGAGCGACAGGGACUACUCUCGCGUCCACGACACGCCACUGCACCUCUCCGCCACGGGCGGCGCCACAGUGGCGGCGGCCACCGCUCUGGCGGCGGUGCCGGCCUCCUACUCGCUGGCGACCGGCGGGGAGAUCAUCGGGAAUCGAACCCUUGUCAACGGACUGUGAAAACUGUGGGGGGGGAGGAGGGGAGAGUCGGCCAAGUGGAACCGGAGCGAGUCCGGUGAUGAAGCCGUCAAGAGGCCGGCACCUCGCGGCCGACAAGUGGGUUUGUACGUUGAAUUGUCGCUCCGGGAGUCGGGCGCUUUCCCAAGUGUUCACCAGCAGCGCGAGGAUGGGCUCGGUCCGGACAAACACCAGCAAGCGUCAUGAGCCGCACUCAGAGUUGAUGGUUAAAUCCUCAGCUUCGAGCUAAACUUCACAGUGGGAACCAAGCGUUAGCGUAGCCGAAGACCGUAGAGUCCCGAAGGACUUGCCCCCUGCUGGCCGGCCGAGGGACUGCGCCAUGACUCCCCACUAACAGGGACCUGUGGGUGGACCCAGGAAUGAGCUGAAGAGGCCGGGUGGCCCCCUGCUGGCCAGGUGCAGCUCUGCAACACCAGCCUUCGGGACGUCGUCCACCCUCGGACACAGACAUCUGCGUGUCAUCGGCACAAGCACCGCCCCCGAUGGGUUGUCGACUGGUUCUGGAGGAUCCGGCCCCGAAGGGACCACAGAACUCCACCGGCAUCCCAAACUUUCUUUUGCACUAAACGUUGCACACGUCUUUGUGACUUUAGCCGUCGCGCCGAGCCGCGGCGGCGGCUGCCGUUUGCGGGUGAAUGAUGGUGGUCUGAGACGACCGGAGACCCUGGCAGUCCCCAGCACAUGUCGAGAGUCCAGCGGGCCGAAGACGCGUCACUGACUCGCACCGCGGUCGUGAUGUUUCCUGCAGCUCUGGGCUGAAAGCACAAGGUUCCUUUCCUCUCCUCGUGUUCGUGACGGUCAACUAGAGGAGUCCAGCUCCAGCUGAGCCAGACGGCUGGUGGCUCCGGGUCCCGUCCGGUCGGUGGCUCCAGACCUCCAGAGAAAAAGUGGGUCCUGCAGCCCGUCCCACUCCAGGUCCCUGCACAUCUGUAGCACGUUUGGAUCUGCACUCGUCUGCUCGGGUCUGAGCCCCACCACCAAUUGUUAUUUCUUUAAUAGCAAACCUUUGUACAACGAGCAGCUGCAGCGAGUUUUGAUAAUAAACGCCUAUUUCUUCUGGCCUCAGAAGUGCUGCGGGUGGAGCUGCAGCUCCCGCUUGAUGCGCUCCUCCACCAGCAGAGCGAAGCUGGGGUCCGUGAGCGGCAGACUGUGGCUGACGAACACCUGCUUCCCAGUCUUCCUGGCUGCAGACAGACGGCGCCACCAGCAGGUCAGACGCACCGCGUGACAAGAGAGAAGAGAGGGGAGAGAGAGAGAGAGAGCGGCGCUCACCCAGUCGCUGGGCCAGAGAGGUGGGGCCGGUGUCGGACGGGUCUCCCAGAACCAGCGUGGACAACGGGCUCGAGUCCUGGGGAGGAGACACCAGAGCAGGCGUUUAAAACAAGCACCGAGGUGCGGCCCGCACGAGCCCAAGUCCCGCGUCCUGUUCUCUUCUUCCUGGAUUAGACUCCUUCAGAAGUGUACAGUGCGUGUCAGAAGCCGCUUUGUUGCCAUGGUCAGUGAGGACCCCAGCAACGUGCAGCCAUGAAGAACAACAACACAGCAGCAAUAACAAAUGACAUGAACAGAAUAGACGUCAGUGAUAAACACACGGUCUGAUCACCAAUCCCUCAGUCUGACGGCGGGGGGACAGAAACCAUCCGGGAUCUUUGACUAAACAUCAAGUCAUGUGCGACUUGUGUUCGUGGCCCGAUGACGCUCCUCUCCACUCGAGGUUUCAUUCACGGACGUUUCAUUGAAGCACCCUUCUCUUCGGCUGGGCUUCAGGAUGUAUUGAACCCGACCCUGACCAGGGCGCGACUCGGACCCGAGGCCGCGGGCGGACCUCCAGCUCCGGGCUCGCGUCAGAAGCACGUGACGAGUGGCGCUUCAGCGCCGCCACUGCCGCGCUGACUCGGAGAUUUUCACUCACAAACUUGCCGCUCAUCGACACCGCCAGGUUGCUCAGAACCGGACUGGAACCGAGCCAGAGGAAGAAGCCGCCGCUCAGCCUCAUGACGUGGAAAUGGACCGUCUGCUCCAGAAUCUUUUCCGAGAAGUUGUAGACGGAGAUGGCGUCGUUUUCGUCCAUGACCGCGACGACGACUGGGUCCGGACGCGCGGAACUGGCCCGGUACCGCGGAACCUCCAGACAGGGCUCGGUACCAACGCGCGCCCAGAGAAACUGCGCCGACACACGUCAACACAGCGGCAACUUCCGCGUUUAGAGGAAGCAGCGCAGCAGACUGAAGCAAUCGACCAUCGAAAGUCGACGCCGGUCCGAAGAUCGUCCAACUCGAGAGACGAGCGAGUCGGAACUGAAGCAUUUUUAUUGUCACGAACACGUCCACUACAUCCACAGACGGACCACACGGAGCAUAGACAUGUGCAGUGAAGGAACCAGCUGAGGAGCGGGAUCGGUGAGGGACUUUGGCUUUGUAAACCUGGCUCAGAUGAUCCUAAAACGAAUCGUAAAAUAAGACGGACAUAAGUGCUCUUCAUACAAACCAGAAGCAGCGUUCUUCCAAAAUAAGAGUUCUUACGCUGACCUGCAUGAAGUCACAGGUCACAACAGGAGCCAGGCCUUCUGCCACUCGACGUUCUCAAACUGGUUCCAAUGGAAAAGGGUGUGUGGCCGUCUCUGUGAAGUGACCGUCGUCGUUCUUUUUCCAAGAAAAUCUGACCCACACGUGUACUGACUGGAGACAACAAGGAUACCAGCCGGUCCUGGAUUCUUGGCUGGUGUGUGUAUAGCACCAAACACAUACUCACCAGGUGGAACAGGAAGAUUGAAUUCCACCGAUGACGGAGGUGAACCUUGGUCAUUGAAAAGUUGAGCAGCCAGAUCGAUGCCAUUGUCGAGCCAGCUGUUUUCCGUGGAAAUAAAAGAUCCUUGUGAUUCCAAAUAUAAUAUCUAUGUGGAGAAAAGUUGGGCUUAAAGAAGCGAGCGCGGGAUGAGAAGCCUGGCGGUCUAUUACAGGCGGUGAAAUACUCCACACCUCGGAGACGAGGAAGUAGACGGAGCGGCAAGAUGUUCCAGGCAGCUAAGACCAGUGUGGAAACAGCCUGUGCGUUGGUCAGCAGAACCCUCCCCGAGUGACAGGUCUCUCCCGAGCCAUGUGUUUCACAGAGUGCCUGCUCUUUCUAUGGUGGGCUCAGGGUUUGCAGAACUUCUCUUUGUUUGACCUCUAACACACGUGGAUGCCUCAAUAGUUGACUCCUUUCUUCACUGGGAUGUGACGGAUAUCUGCUUUAAUGGCCAAAAGAUGGCAUUUGUUCACAUUCAGAACCAGACCUGAGGCUGGUGUCUGACCAUCACUUCCUCUCCAUGAACUGUGAGGCCUUCUCCCGACUGCUCUUCAUGUGGCCUGCCGUUCUUUGGCCACCAAAAGAGAGAGACGGGGGGGCUGGACCGCCCUGUGGCGCCGCAGCGUUCAUCACACUUCUGCAUUCCUGGACAGCGUUUGGACGGCGGACGAUAUGAAACCUCCAAAGCCAAAUUUGUUGAGAGGCGGGAGUGAAACGCUGUCAAACGCUGAGUGAAAAUCCAGAAAGAGAAUCAAAGCAUGAGCCUCAACCAGCUGCGGGUGACCCGGGACGUCUGGAGCCAGUCUGGUGCCAUUUGUCUCUCAGACAUGAAACCAGAUGGAGUCUCAUCAAUAAUGGACUCCAGAACAGACUUUAUUCUUUUGGCAAAUAUUUCAUCAUCAUGACUGAGUAAAUGACGCGUCAGACCAGAGGACCAGGACCAGUCUUUUCUUCCAUCAGAGCAGGAGCACCACGACGCCGGCGCAGCUUCCUGGAGCUGCCAGGUGCCUCACUCCUGCAGGAAGUCCUGCACCAGCUGGUUGAACUGGCUGGAGAACCUCAGGUGCAGGUUGUGUUUCCCCUCGGGCAUCAGGUGGAGUCUGGACAGA